CACUCCUACGGGAGGCAGCAGUGGGGAAUUUUACGCAAUGGGGGAAACCCUGACGUAGCGACACCGCGUGAGCGAAGAAGCCCUUUGGGGUGUAAAGCUCUGUCAGCUGGAACGAAAACAAUGACGGUACCAGCAGAGGAAGCAUCGGCUAACUACGUGCCAGCAGCCGCGGUAAGACGUAGGAUGCGAGCGUUGUCCGGAUUUAUUGGGCGUAAAGAGUUCGUAGGUGGUUUGUUAAGUUUGGUGUUAAAGAUCGGGGCUCAACCCUGGGACUGCACUGAAUACUGGCAGACUCGAGUGUGGUAGAGGCUAGUGGAAUUCCCAGUGUAGCGGUGAAAUGCGUAGAUAUUGGGAAGAACACCGGUGGCGUAGGCGACUAGCUGGGCCAUAACUGACGCUGAGGAACGAAAGCCAGGGGAGCGAAUGGGAUUAGAUACCCGAGUAGUCCC
rnacentral:rRNA from 1 species